AAAAUUUUAGUUUAUAUUUAAAACAAUUUAUUUACAAUAAAUAAAAUUUCUUUUAAAAAUUUUA
rnacentral:tRNA from 1 species